CAUCGAGACUCCUACGGGAGGCAGCGAGUAGGGAAUCUUCCACGAAUGGGCGCAAGCCUGAUGGAGCAACACCGCGUGAGUGAAGAAGGCCUUCGGGUUGUAAAGCACUUUCAGUCGUGAGGAAGGUAGUGUAGUUAAUAGCUGCAUUAUUUGACGUUAGCGACAGAAGAAGCACCGGCUAACUCCGUGCCAGCAGCCGCGGUAAUACGGAGGGUGCGAGCGUUAAUCGGAAUUACUGGGCGUAAAGCGCAUGCAGGUGGUUUGUUAAGUCAGAUGUGAAAGCCCCGGGGCUCAACCUCGGAAUAGCAUUUGAAACUGGCAGACUAGAGUACUGUAGAGGGGGUAGAAUUUCAGGUGUAGCGGUGAAAUGCGUAGAGAUCUGAAGGAAUACCGGUGGCGAAGGCGGCCCCCCUGGACAGAUACUGACACUCAGAUGCGAAAGCGUGGGGAGCAAACAGGAUUAGAUACCCUGGUAG
rnacentral:rRNA from 1 species